UACGGAAGGUCCGGGCGUUAUCCGGAUUUAUUGGGUUUAAAGGGAGCGCAGGCGGGCCUUUAAGCGUGACGUGAAAUGUAGCCGCUCAACGGCUGAACUGCGUCGCGAACUGGAGGCCUUGAGUGGGUGCGACGUCAGCGGAAUUCGUGGUGUAGCGGUGAAAUGCUUAGAUAUCACGAAGAACCCCGAUUGCGAAGGCAGCUGGCGAGUCCCUUACUGACGCUAAAGCUCGAAGGUGCGGGUAU
rnacentral:rRNA from 1 species